CCAGCAGCAGCAGAAGGGAGACCCAGGUUGGCAGCUGGAGUGACUGACAGUGAUUUCCCUUCCGUUCAGUGAUGAGCCCACUAUGAAGAAAGGGCACGAAGCUGGUUCCUCUCUCCCUGUCCUGGGAAUGGUGCCUGCCCGUGAUGGUAUCCUCAGGUCCCCAUCUCUGCUCCAACAAGAUGUCUCAGGGGACGUCUAUGCAUUCAGCCAGGUGACCACUAGAAGAAAAUGUUCCCCAGGACCACCUAAGAGAAUGUAA
rnacentral:lncRNA from 1 species